GCGUUCACUUCCAGAGCUCAUAUACUAAAUACAGAGAAGAUUAGAAUGGCCCCUGCACAAGGAUGACACACAAAUUCAUGAAGUCUUCUAGAUUUUU
rnacentral:snRNA from 1 species